GAAAUCUGUUUAGCAGGAGAAAAGGUUUACCGGUUGGUAGAGCAUAGUACUUUUUGCUAUGUCUGGUGCAUUCACAACGAUCCUUGAAAAUCCAAGGGAAAGAAUAAUUUUCUCGCCUAGUCGUACUCAUAACCGCAGCAGGUCUCCAAGGUGAACAGCCUCUAGUUGAUAGAACAAUGUAGAUAAGGGAAGUCGGCAA
rnacentral:rRNA from 1 species